rnacentral:rRNA from 1 species
AUGCAGAGAGGCAAGAAAGUUGAUGCGCUCAGCGCAUUGCCUGAUGACGUUCUGGUCAACAUUCUUGACCGACUCAUUGUCCGUGAGGCUGCAAGAACCAGCAUCCUCUCCAGACGGUGGACUCAACUCUGCGCCAAGCUGUCUCGGCUUGCGAUUGAGAGCAUAUUGGCAUGCAGAAAUCCUGGAGAACACACCAUCCGCCUUCUGUCGACCACGUUCUACUUGAGAGGUGAUGUCCCCAUAUCCAUUGGGCAAGCUGUUGGUCAUGCCAUGGCGGCACACUUGGUCGAGGAUGUCAAAUUCAGUGUUAUGACAGGGACGUAUGACAUCGUUGACAUGGUUGAGGAUGAUCUGGUCACCUCUGCGAGAAAUUUCAUGCUGUUCUUUGAUGCCUGUCCAAGUGCGUUUGGUGGUCUCACUGCCCUCGACCUCGAGAAUUUGAGAUUUGGUGAAUCAGACAUAGCCAAUGUCCUCAUCACUUGCAAGCGGUUGAAGCGUUUGCGUUUGUACAAUUGCGACUCUGGUGAUUGCAGCACACUGCCAGUUGAACAUUCUCAUCUCAGUGAGCUUAGUAUUGUCCACUGUAGUCUUGAACGAGUUAUGCUGAACUAGCUCCCUCAACUCACAAGGAUGGUCUUUGAAGGCUGGAUGCAAUUCCAAGAUCCACUGUUCAUUGGUCAUGCCCCAUUGCUGGAGGCUGUAAGCCUCACAAAUCUCAGCCUUAGUUACCACAAGAUGGUGAAGUUAAGUGAGUUUCUUAGCGGUAGCUCUAUACGAGAUCUGAAGUUCGAUUUAGUUCCGAAAAGUUUGGCAUCUGUUUUCCGCCAACUAAGGUUUUUGAAUAUAGUUGAUCUUCCUCAAGGGUAUGAUCUCACCUGGACAAUGUAUUUUCUUGAAGCUGCGCCCUUACUGAAGGAGCUAUACAUAACGGUAUGGGAUCAUGAGUGUAAAAUGGAAAUGGACAAGGAGAAGAGGAAAGAAGAAUCAUAUAGUGAGAACAAGGGUGUAGAGUGGGACUCAGCCGCGGCAGAUUUCCAACACCACAGUUUGGUCACACUCGUCAUGUUUGGCUUUGAAUCUGAAGAUUGCUUUGUGAGUUAUGUCAGACGUGUUCUCGCGGUGGCGGUCAAUCUAGAGGAUGUGUUCCUGUAUUGUGGGUUGGAGUGUGACGAUUGCCCGCACAAGAAGCCUGGCAGGUACCCCUGGACUAAAAGGCAGAGGAUCUCACUGAAGAAGAGAAUGACCGCUGGGAUUGAGUCGUUUGCCAUAUUUCACUAUGCUACUAACAUGAGGACUGAUCAUGUAAAAAGAAGGGAGUACCCAAAGUGCUCACUGCUGGAGGCAAAAAAUGAUUUUCUCUGA